rnacentral:rRNA from 1 species
AGUGAACGCUGGCGGUAGGCCUAACACAUGCAAGUCGUACGGCAGCACAGUAAGAGCUUGCUCUUACGGGUGGCGAGUGGAGGACGGGUGAGGAAUACAUCGGAAUCUACUUUUUCGUGGGGGAUAACGUAGGGAAACUUACGCUAAUACCGCAUACGACAUACGGGUGAAAGCAGGGGAUCUUCGGACCUUGCGCGAUUGAAUGAGCCGAUGUCGGAUUAGCUAGUUGGCGGGGUAAAGGCCCACCAAGGCGACGAUCCGUAGCUGGUCUGAGAGGAUGACCAGCCACACUUGAACUGAGACACGGUCCAGACUCCUACGGGAGGCAGCAGUGGGGAAUAUUGGACAAUGGGCGCAAGCCUGAUCCAGCCAUGCCGCGUGAGUGAAGAAGGCCUUCGGGUUGUAAAGCCCUUUUGUUGGGAAAGAAAAGCAGCAGGUUAAUACCCCGCUGUUCUGACGGUACCCAAAGAAUAAGCACCGGCUAACUUCGUG